AGACAUUGACAGCUCAAUGGAGCAUUGCUUUGCAGCCCCUGUAAUGGUAAUCAUAUGAAAGCAUUUGCCCCACCCCAGGGUGACCGUGGGAACCUGGAGAAGUUAAGAAAUGAAUGUAAUAGACUGAACUGCAAGCUGUGGCAGUCUGGGUCUGGAAGGAGAAGAAGCUGUAGAAGAUAUUUUCCUUCAGUAGCUUCUCCACAGCCAUGGUGGGAGAUGGCAGAAACAGCCAGCAUCACUUCUGGGAGGUGGACCACAGAAGAGAAAAAGAAACAACAGACCCAAUAGGGUCUCGCAUGGUUCUGAACACAUAGUAAAUGCUGAAUUACUAUUUCCUAAAUUAUCAUAAAGCUGAGAAGAAUCAUGAUUCUCAAACUUCACCUUGGAAUUAAAAUGGAUUUCCUUGAGAAGCACAUAUGAGGUAAGCAGACCUCUCCUGUGAUGUUCUGGAUAUGCCUGUCUCAACAGAUUUCAGGGUGGCCGUCUUCUCUGCAAAUUCAGUUCUCUGAUGUGUCCAAGGAGCUGCGGACCAGAGCUGUUCCCAUUCGGCCAUCUUGGACUCUGUCUUAUGUUUGGAAACAACUCUAAUGGUGAUGCCUGUGAGCUGGAGCAUUAGCCUGAAUGCCACCUGCAAUGCAGGUAAAGCAAGGUACAACCUAACAUGACUAGAUUAGAAGUGUGGCAUAGCAGCCAGCUGGCACCAAGGGAAGGCGGCGAGUUAUCUGAAGUAUACAGGAAAAUAUAAUAGAGUGUGCUCAAGGCAGUAAAUAAUUUUACCUAAAUAGUUACAUGAUGCUGAAGGGCCAAUUCAUAACUAGCGG
rnacentral:lncRNA from 10 species